UUGAAAGGGAAACGAUUGAAGUCAGUCAUGCCGGCGAGAAAUCAGCCUACAGGCCACUGUGGGUGCACUUUAUCGCAAGGCAGGUUAACAUGGAUUUUUGUUGCGUUAUAAUGAUUGUAGGAAGGUGGCUCCUUCGGGAGUGUUAUAGCCUACUUUAGAUGACGUGGCGGAGAUCGAGGAUUGCAGCGAAUGCCUUUUGGCCACGAGUCUGUUCUCUGUCGAACGCCAAUUGGUCGUCAGCUUGCUGACGCACGGUUGGUCGGCUUGACAACAGGAUGGAAUUCGAUAAAUUCGUUAAGGAUGUUGACGUAAGUC
rnacentral:rRNA from 1 species